rnacentral:rRNA from 1 species
AUUGAACGCUGGCGGCAGGCCUAACACAUGCAAGUCGAGCGGAUGAAGGGAGCUUGCUCCUGGAUUCAGCGGCGGACGGGUGAGUAAUGCCUAGGAAUCUGCCUGGUAGUGGGGGAUAACGUCCGGAAAUGGGCGCUAAUAACGCAUACGUCCUGAGGGAGAAAGUGGGGGAUCUUCGGACCUCACGCUACCAGAUGAGCCUAGGUCGGAUUAGAUAGUUGGUGGGGUAAAGGCCUACCAAGGCGACGAUCCGUAACUGGUCUGAGUGGAUGAUCAGUCACACGGGAACUCAGACACGUUCCAGCCUCCUACGGGAGGCAGCAGUGGGGAAUAUUGGGCAAUGGGCGAAAGCCUGAUCCACCCGUGCCGCGUGUGUGAAGAAGGUCUUCGGAUGGUAAAGCACUUUAAGUUGGGAGUAAGUGUAGUAAGUUAAUACCUUGCUGUUUUGACGUUACCAACAGAAUAAGCUCCGGCUAACUUCGUG